AGAUCAUCGCGAAUCACCACAUGCAAUCUAUCUCCUUCGCUUCGGGGGGUGACACGGAUACAACCGAUUACGUCGCUUAUGUUGCCAAGGAUCCCAUCAACCAGCGAGCUUGCCACAUCUUGGAAUGCUGUGACGGAUUGGCGCAAAGCAUCAUCAACACCGUCGGGCAGGC